rnacentral:lncRNA from 1 species
CUUGGUGUGGGCUCGGGCCUCAGCGAAGCCGGCGAGGCCGGCGUUGCGAAGGAAAGCAUCCCCCGGUGUCGCUGCGACGCACCAGUUGUUGGCGUAAUGCAUCUGAACGCAUCCGAAAGGCGCUGUCCAUUUGCUUCCGAGCUUUGGCGCUCACCCACCUUCCUUUCCCACACCUUCCGGUUGGGAUGGGGCCCUUCCUCUUUUUUAUUUUUAUGUAUUUUUGAUGCGGACGAGGA